rnacentral:rRNA from 1 species
GGGUGAGUAAUGUAUCGGAACGUGCCCAGUCGUGGGGGAUAACUGCUCGAAAGAGCAGCUAAUACCGCAUACGACCUGAGGGUGAAAGCGGGGGAUCGCAAGACCUCGCGCGAUUGGAGCGGCCGAUAUCAGAUUAGGUAGUUGGUGAGGUAAAGGCUCACCAAGCCGACGAUCUGUAGCUGGUCUGAGAGGACGACCAGCCACACUGGGACUGAGACACGGCCCAGACUCCUACGGGAGGCAGCAGUGGGGAAUUUUGGACAAUGGGCGCAAGCCUGAUCCAGCCAUGCCGCGUGCGGGAAGAAGGCCUUCGGGUUGUAAACCGCUUUUGUCAGGGAAGAAAAGGUUCUGGCUAAUACCUGGGACUCAUGACGGUACCUGAAGAAUAAGCACCGGCUAACUACGUGCCAGCAGCCGCGGUAAUACGUAGGGUGCAAGCGUUAAUCGGAAUUACUGGGCGUAAAGCGUGCGCAGGCGGUUAUGCAAGACAGAGGUGAAAUCCCCGGGCUCAACCUGGGAACUGCCUUUGUGACUGCAUGGCUAGAGUACGGUAGAGGGGGAUGGAAUUCCGCGUGUAGCAGUGAAAUGCGUAGAUAUGCGGAGGAACACCGAUGGCGAAGGCAAUCCCCUGGACCUGUACUGACGCUCAUGCACGAAAGCGUG